AAAAAAGGUAAGCUACUAAGAGCGAAUGGUGGAUGCCUUGACUGGUAAAGGCGAUGAAGGACGUACUAGACUGCGAUAAGCUACGGGGAGCUGUCAAGAAGCUUUGAUCCGUAGAUUUCCGAAUGGGGCAACCCAAUGUAUAGAUAUAUACAUUACCUAUAUAGGAGCGAACGAGGGGAAUUGAAACAUCUUAGUACCCUCAGGAAAAGAAAUCAAUAGAGAUUGCGUCAGUAGCGGCGAGCGAAAGCGCAAGAGGGCAAACCCAGUGCUUGCACUGGGGGUUGUAGGACUGCAAUGUGCAAGAGGUGAGUUUAGCAGAACAUUCUGGAAAGUAUAGCCAUAGAGGGUGAUAGUCCCGUAUGCGAAAAACAAACCUUAGCUAGCAGUAUCCUGAGUAGGGCGGGACACGAGAAAUCCUGUCUGAAGCUGGGUCGACCACGAUCCAACCCUAAAUACUAAUACCAGAUCGAUAGUGCACAAGUACCGUGAGGGAAAGGUGAAAAGAACUGAGGUGAUCAGAGUGAAAUAGAACCUGAAACCAUUUGCUUACAAUCAUUCAGAGCCCUAUGUAGCAAUACAGGGUGAUGGACUGCCUUUUGCAUAAUGAGCCUGCGAGUUGUGGUGUCUGGCAAGGUUAAGCAAACGCGAAGCCGUAGCGAAAGCGAGUCUGAAUAGGGCGCUUAGUCAGAUGCUGCAGACCCGAAACGAAGUGAUCUAUCCAUGAGCAAGUUGAAGCUAGUGUAAGAACUAGUGGAGGACUGAACCCAUAGGCGUUGAAAAGCCCCGGGAUGACUUGUGGAUAGGGGUGAAAGGCCAAUCAAACUUCGUGAUAGCUGGUUCUCUCCGAAAUAUAUUUAGGUAUAGCGUUGUGUCGUAAUAUAAGGGGGUAGAGCACUGAAUGGGCUAGGGCAUACACCAAUGUACCAAACCCUAUCAAACUCCGAAUACCUUAUAUGUAAUCACAGCAGUCAGGCGGCGAGUGAUAAAAUCCGUCGUCAAGAGGGAAACAACCCAGACUACCAGCUAAGGUCCCUAAAUCUUACUUAAGUGGAAAACGAUGUGAAGUUACUUAAACAACCAGGAGGUUGGCUUAGAAGCAGCCAUCCUUUAAAGAAAGCGUAAUAGCUCACUGGUCUAGUGAUUUUGCGCGGAAAAUAUAACGGGGCUAAAGU
rnacentral:rRNA from 1 species